GCCGGGCCCCAGACCCUUCCGUCUUCCGGAAGCGGACGCGAGGCUGGCUGCGACUGGGUGGGCAGCUACUGCAGUGGCGGGCACGGCGGGAGCGAGGAGGAGUAAAGGGGUGCGGGCCUGGCUCCCGCGCCGGAGUGGAGCACCAUGGACGAAGUUGGGAGCUGUGCGAGCGGCGGAGGCUUCCGCCCGGGCGUGGACAGCCUGGACGAGCCGCCCAACAGCCGCAUCUUCUUGGUGAUCAGCAAGUACACGCCCGAGUCGGUGCUGAGGGAGCGCUUCUCGCCCUUCGGGGAGAUCCAAGACAUCUGGGUGGUGCGGGACAAGCACACCAAAGAGUCCAAGGGCAUUGCAUUCGUCAAGUUUGCCCGCAGCUCGCAGGCCUGCAGGGCCAUGGAGGAGAUGCACGGCCAGUGCCUCAGCCCCAGCGACACCAAGCCCAUCAAGGUUUUCAUUGCUCAGUCCAGAUCAUCUGGAAGUCACCGAGAUGUUGAAGAUGAAGAACUUACAAGAAUAUUUGUUAUGAUACCAAAGUCCUACACAGAAGAAGAUCUACGGGAAAAAUUUAAGGUGUAUGGAGAUAUCGAGUAUUGCAGCAUUAUUAAGAAUAAAGUAACUGGAGAAAGUAAAGGCUUGGGCUAUGUUCGAUACUUAAAACCAUCACAGGCUGCCCAAGCAAUAGAAAACUGUGAUCGAAGUUUUAGGGCAAUCUUGGCUGAACCUAAAAAUAAAGCAUCUGAAUCCUCAGAACAAGAUUAUUAUAGUAAUAUGAGGCAGGAGACUUUGGGACAUGAACCUAGAGUGAAUAUGUUUCCAUUUGUUGGAGAACAACAAUCUGAAUUUUCAAGUUUUGACAAGAAUGACAACAGAGGCCAGGAAUCCAUCUCCAAACGCCUGUCAGUUGUAUCAAGAGUUCCUUUCACUGAAGAGCAGCUUUUCAGCAUUUUUGAUAUAGUACCAGGGUUGGAAUACUGUGAAGUUCAACGAGAUCCGUAUUCUAAUUAUGGUCAUGGAGUGGUUCAGUAUUUUAAUGUAGCAUCUGCUAUUUAUGCAAAAUACAAGUUACAUGGAUUUCAGUAUCCUCCUGGGAAUCGGAUAGGUGUUUCCUUCAUUGAUGAUGGGAGUAAUGCAUCAGAUCUCCUUAGAAAAAUGGCAACGCAGAUGGUAGCUGCACAGCUUGCAUCAAUGGUGUGGAAUAACCCAAGUCAGCAGCAAUUUCUGCAAUUUGGAGGAAGUUCUGGAUCACAGCUGCCUCAAAUCCAGACAGAUGUUGUACUUCCGUCAUGCAAAAAAAAAGCCCCUCCUGAAACUCCGGUGAAAGAAAGACUUUUUAUCGUGUUUAAUCCACAUCCUUUACCUUUAGAUGUACUAGAGGAUAUAUUCUGUCGUUUUGGUAACCUGAUCGAAGUUUACCUUGUGUCAGGAAAAAAUGUGGGGUAUGCCAAGUAUGCAGAUAGAGUAAGUGCUAAUGAUGCCAUUACUACUUUACAUGGAAAGAUCCUGAAUGGAGUCAGACUUAAAGUUAUGCUGGCAGACUCCCCAAGAGAAGAAUCUAACAAACGACAAAGAACUUACUGAUUCUUGAGUUGCAGCACGGCUUUUUUUAUUUUUGCUUCGAAUCCCCAUUUACCAUGGACUUCAUAAUGAGAUUCACCUCUUUUGUUGAAAUUCAGUACCCGCUUGCAUCAUCCUUCUGAAACAAAGACUAAUGACAUAAUCCUCAGCUGACUGACUGAAAAUGUGACUGGACGCACUCCUUGUGGACAGUUGACGGCUUUUUUUUUUCACAUACCUGAUAGUCUCUGCACAGCAUUGUUUUGUCUUGGGGAGCAGGGAUUGUUGACAUGUAUUUUUAAACCACACGUUAAUGCUAAAACUAAUAUAGUAGUUGUUUCUUAGAGCAAUAUGUUGUUAUGUGUGGCAGAAAUAAAGUUUUCUUUGCUUAACUAAA